GCCAGCCAGGAAGGAGGAGGCAGCCAGAGAGGCCUCCACUGUUCUCUGUAGCAGAAGACCCCCUGCUGCCAGGCGCAGCGAAUCUGGCUGAGCGAGCCCAAGUCCUCAUCUUCCAUGGUGUUCUGGUCCCACAAGAUGACAUGUGAGGGUGAGCUUGGAACACAGCUGGGACUAGGAAGGUGGACUUCAAUCUCAUGGAUCAGCUGAAGGGGUUUUGGGAUUCUUGACAGCCAGUACCAUCAAAAAGGACCCACGUCUAUGAAUGUGAGGAUUUUUGGAGCCCUCAAUUAUUCCUGGUUGCAGGGAUUUCUAAGUGCUUGUGACUGACCGGUGGUUUCCGUAUGUUGCUUUUCUCAGUGGGAAAGUUCCUUGCUUUGGAUUUGCGGCAUUACUAAGAAUGCAAGCAAGUCUGUAUCCUUGCCAACAGUGGUCACAUGCUGACUAUGACCAGUCCUGUAGACAGUGAAUCACUGUGUUGCCAUUACCAUCUGUCCCACUAAACACUAAGGCCAGCAUUACUCAUGCGUGAUAUCAAAGCUUUGACAAACCUUGGAGUCUUAUUGUUGAAGAACGUACCACUCAUCUUCUUGGCUUUGCAAGUCUCUCCUCAUGGAGUACCAUCAGAACUGCAUUUUCACCAGGCUUAGUAGGCACACAGCAGCCACCUCUGUAAGCUGUGCAGGCAUGCUUCACUGGGACUUGCAAGGAGCAUGCAUGCCUCUCACUUCAGUUGCUGGUUCCCAAUGCAGUAUGGUAGCCACAUGGGCACCUGGAGGGGAGGGGGUAAAGGGGCAACUGUCCCUUCCCCCCAAAUUGAGCCAGCCUCAUUGAAUUCAAUGGGGCUUAUUCCUAGGUAAGUGGAUAUAGGAUUGCACACUUUGCCCCCCUUCCCCCAGAAAAAGGCCUGUGGACACUGAUGGGGCACCAGUGUAUUUCGCAUUGUAAAUCUAGGCAAUAAGUUGCUUUCUAAACUUAUUUGUACUGUUUUUGCUUAUCUAUUGUUGUAAUUGCUAUAACAACAAACUUUUACAUACCGCUUUUUACCAAAAGUUUUCAAAAUGGUUUACAUAAAAUAUA